ACCUUUAGUGCACCUUUGGGUCUUAACAUGAGAGAGGAAAAUUUGGGUAUUGGCUGCAGCAGCAGCCAUGACAGGCAGAGCAAUGCAGCUAUAGCUAUGGCUAGAUGGCAGCAGGAAGUGACUUCUCAUUAAAGAAAGAGAGCAAUGGAAAAAAAAGGAGAGAGCCAUUUGAAAGGAAGAACUUCCUAGCACAUGAAAAGGGGGAGAUGCUCUCUAGAGGGACCAGAAGAGAGUUUCAUUACACUUGAAAAACAAGGAGGCAAGCAGCUCGAGCAAGGGAAGAUUUGGGACUCUCAGCACACUAGAAGGAGAACACUGGGGUAGAGAGCAACAAAGCACGAAAAAAGGGGAACAAAGGCAACAAGAGAGGAAGUGAACCAUCUAACAACGAGCAACACAAACACAACAGAUGAGGAGAGGAGGAUAGAUUGCAACAGGGAUCGGUGACAGAAAAAAGUAACAUCAUUGAGAAGAAAGGACCUGUCAUAGGCAGGAAUUUGACAAAGAAGAGUUAAACAUCAAGGUGCUGAAGUGUCUUGAUAGAUCUUGGCAACCAAAGGUCACAACUAUCUCAGAAACAAGAGAUCUAUCCAUUUUGACUACAGUUGCAUUGUUUGGCAAGCUUAGGGAGCAUGAGAUUGAAAUACAAAGGCUUAAUGAGCUUGAGUCAAGUGAGAAAAAGGUAAAGAACAUAGCCUUGAAGACUAGCACCAAGAAGAAUGAGGAACCCGAGGAUGAGAUGGCUGAAUCAAGUGAAAGUGAGAACUUGAAUCUCCUUGUCAGGAGGUUUGGUAAGUAUCUCAAAAGGAAAGGUAUCAAAGGUAAUCCCAAGAGGUAUACUUCCAAACACAAUGAAUCAAAGUCUUCUAAUUUUACAUGUUAUAACUGUACAAAAUAAGGACAUAUCAAAAUUGAAUGUCCAAAUGCUAAUAAAGAAAAGGAGAAGAGUGUUGAUAGGAAAAAGGAGAAGAAGCCAAAGGAGAAACGUGCACACAUUGCACGGAAGGACAAUGAUGAUUCAACUACAAGUAGCUCCUCACAAGAUGAGAGUGAAGAAGCCAACUUGUGCCUCAUGGGUGGUUGUGAGUCAUCCUCCUUAAGCCAAGUCAUAAAAGGUGAUAAGAAAGAUUUGUGGUACCUUGAUAGUGAUUGUUCGAGACAUAUGAGAGGAGAUAAGACCAAAUUUGCAAAGUUGGAGUUGAAGGAGGAAGGGUUUGUAACCUAUGGAGACAACAACAAAGGAAAAAUUCUUAGAAAUGGAGUCAAAGGUAAUGGAUCCUCUUUCAACAUCAAGAAUGUGCUGCUGGUAGAAGGACUCAAACACAAUUUGAUAAGUAUAAGUUAACUAUGUGAUAAAGGCUUUAAAGUCAUGUUUGAACCAACUUGAUCUGUAUCAUGCAUCAUUUUGCAUCCAUUGUUUACUUACAAAAGAGGAUGACAGUUGGUUAUGGCAUAGAAGACUUUGUCACAUACACAUGCAGCAUUUCAAUUGGCUGAAUAGAAAACAACUAGUUGAAGGACUACCAAAACUCAACUUUUUGAUGGAUAGAGUGUGUGAAGCAUGUCAAAAAGGAAAACAAACUAAGGUCUCUUUUAAAUCCAAAAAUGUUGUUUCAACUGAAAGACCUUUAGAGAUGCUUCACAUGGAUUUAUUUGGUCCAUCUCGAACCAUGAGCCUUGGUGGCAAUCUUUAUGCAUUUGUUGUUGUUGAUGAUUUUUCUAGGUACACAUGGACUUUGUUCUUAGCUGCCAAAAAUGACACUUUCCAUUCCUUUAAAAAACUUGCCAAACACAAAUGAAAGGAAAAACAGGUCACUUGAGGAACUAGCUAGAACUAUGUUGAAUGAAAACUCACAACCUAAGUAUUUUUAGGCUGAUGCAAUCAACACUACUUGUUAAUAGAGUGUUGAUUAGGCCAAUUUUGAAGAAAACCCCUUUUGAACUUUUCAAACAGAGGAGGCCUGUAUUAAGUCACCUAAAAGUAUUUGGAUGUAAGUGUUUCAUCUUAAAUAAUGGCAAAGAAAGUCUUAGAAAAUUUGAUGCAAAAGCGAAUGAAGGUGUUUUACUAGGCUAUGCUACACAAAGUCAUGCAUAUAAAGUCUAUAAUAAGAGACUGAUGACUGUUGAAGAGUCCAUGCAUGUUGUAUUUCAUGAAACUAUCCCACAGUUGAAGGAUCAAGUGCCAAAGAAUGCAGAUGAAGAAGAUCUACUGCAAAAACAUAUUUAUGCUGCAGAAAAGCCCUAUGCUGUAGGAAAUCAAUCGACUGAAAAGGAAAAAUAGUCUACUGAAAAAGCUGCAGACAACAACUUGCCCAAAGAUUGGAUCCAGCCUAGAGGUUUAUCAAAGGACAACAUCAUAUGUGAUAUCAAAUAGGGAGUAUCUACUAGACGUAGGAUUGUAUUUUGUGAACAUGUUGCUUUUGUAUCUCAAAUUGAACCUAAGAAUGUGAAUGAUGCUUUGAAUGACAGUAAUUGAAUUGUUGUUAUGCAAGAUGAACUUAAUCAAUUCACAAGAAAUGAUGUGUGGUUUCUAGUGCCUAAAACUGAUGAUAUGAAUAUAAUUGGAACUAAAUGGGUUUUUAGAAACAAAAUGGAUGAAGAUGGUAAUAUUGUAAGGAAUAAAGCUAGAGUAGUUGCUAAAGGUUAUAAUCAAGAAUAAGACAUUGACUUUGAUGAAACUUAUGCACUUGUAGCUAGACUAGAAACUGUGAGAUUACUCUUAGCAUAUGCUUGCAUGUGUAACUUUAAAUUGCAUCAAAUGGAUGUGAAAAGUGCAUUCUUGAAUGGUUUCCUAAAUGAAGAAGUGUAUGUAUCACAACCUCCUGGAUUUUAGGAUCAUCUCUAUCCUAACCAUGUUUUCAAAUUGAAAAAGGCCUUAUAUGGUUUGAAACAAGCACCAAGACAAUGGUAUGAAAUGCUAAGCAAUUUUCUCUUAUCAAAAGGUUAUGUUAGAGGUGCAGUGGAUAAAACACUCU